GUCCAAAUGAAUAUCCUAAUCCUGAAGAUGUAACGAGCAAUUUGGUAAAAUAAAUUUGUCGUAAUCUUUAACGGUUGCGAAGGAGUAGUGGCCACAAGAAAAACAGUGUUUGGGGAGAUAACUCUUACAACGUAAAGUAUUUUGUUACGCAGUUGUAAAUUUUUAAAGCGUAUAAACUAUACGAUACCAUAUUCCAAAUAUCUAAGCGACAUCUUUUGAAACAUCAAUAAUACGCAAGAAAAAAAAUUAGGCGGAAGAAAAAAAAAAAAAAAUAAUAAUAAUAAUAAUAAUAAUCAGAACAAAUUCAAUAGGUCUUUCCACGGAAAGGUGGAAAGACCUAAUUAAAAACCA
rnacentral:lncRNA from 1 species